GGGGCCGCAGAGAUAAUGAGGCCCUGGGGGUAGGUGGUGGCCAGGCUGCUGGAGUCAUGGGCCUGGAACCCAGCACUUAUGACUCACCUCCGCAUGCCUCAAGCUCUGACCUUGGAGUCCAGUUCCAGGAAGAGCACGCCUAUGCCAGACACCCAGUGUGUAGGGUCACUGUCUGUGAUUCCCCGAGAUCAGCAACGAUGAUAAUAGUUCCCAUUUUGUGAGGACUAAUCAUGUGCUAGGCCCUGUUCUAAGUGCUUUACCACAGAAGGGGUCUUGCUCAAGACCACACACAUGAGAAGAUGGCAGAGCCGUGAUUCCGAUGCUGCUGCACCAUAUUGCUUCCCAAAGGCCUUUAUGGAAAACAGCCCUCAACCCUCCUGGAUUUUCAGACAGUCCUGAUUUCUGGCUUUCUCUCCAAUUGUCCCCCAAAUACCUAGAAUCGCUCCCUGACAUGUGAGGACCCUAUGACAAGUCAGCAGUCUGCAAGCCCGAAGAGGGCCCUCACCGGAACUCAACUGCUCUGGCCCCUGAUCUCAGACUUCAGCCUCCGGAACUGUGAGGAAUACAUUUCUGUUGUUUGUCAUUUCAUCUCCAGAUACUAGAACCAUUAUGUUUCGGCCCCUCCAUAAUCAUCUCAGCACAUCUGAAUUACGGUAGCUUCGAGUAUCUUUGUUUUUUGUUUUGUUUUAUUUGUGAUGGAUCAAAAAGACUGCUGGAACAAAGAAAAGAUCAACUGAGCAGAAACAAGCUUAUAUAGGAACAUCCUUUAUAGUUCUACUGUCAGAGAGGAGAGCUGCGUGACUUGGUCCGAUUCAGUGACAUGGUUGAUCUGGGGCACAUUUAAGUACAAGUGACAAGGCUGGGUUAGCAAAGGCUUUGCUAGGCCGGAUCUCUGUACAUGGCCCUCAACAGAUUGGAUGCUGCCCACCACAUUGGGAAGGACAAUCUACUGAGUCCACUAAUUUGAAUGUGAAUUUCAUCCAGAAAUACUCUCACAGACACACCCGGAAACAAUGUCUAAUCUAGGCAGCCUGUGGCCAGUCGAGCUGACACAUAGACUUAACCAUCACACUGUGUGAUUCCAUUUAAUACAUGAAAAACAGAAAUACCUAAAAUUAAUCUGUGCUUUCGGAAGUCAAGAGGGUGGUUACCCUUGGGAAGGUGGUGAUGGGUGAGAACACAAGGGGACUUCCAGGGUGCUGGGUGAUGUUCUGUUUCUUGAUCUGGAUCCAGUUUACACAGAAAUGUUCAGUUCAUGAAAACCCAUUAUGCUAUAUGCUCUCUGUAUGUCCUACUUCUAUCAAAAGUUUUGAAAAGAAGGAUGCACACAAAGACAGUCUUUUCAACAAAUGGUGCUGGAACAACUGAACAUCCACAUGCAAAAAAAUGAAUCCAGACACAGACCUUACAUCCUUCACAAAAAUUAACUCGAAAUGGAUGAUAGACCUAAAUGCAAAAUGCAAAACUAUGAAACUCCUAGAAGAUAACACAGGAGAAAAUCUAGAUGACAUUGGGUAUGGUGAUGGCUUUUUAGAUGCAGGAAAGAAAUAACUGAUAAACUAGAUUUCUUUAAAAUUAACAACUUCUGCUCUGCAAAGGACAAUGUCAAGAGAAUGAGAAGACAAGCCACAGACUGGGAGAAGAUAUUUGUAAAAGACACAUCGGAUAAAAGACUAUUAUCCAAAAUAUACAAAGAACUCUUGAAACUCAACAAUAGGAAAAGGAACAACCUGAUUUUAAAAUGGGCAUAAGUCCCGAACAAAUACCCCAACAAAGAAGAUGGACAGAUGGCAAGUAAGCGCGUGAAAAGAUGCUCCACAUCAUGUGUCAUCAGGGAAAUGCACCUUAAAACAACAGUGAGACACCACUACAUACCUGUUAGAAUGGCCAAAGUCCAGAACACUGACAACACCAACUGCUGACAAGGAUGGGGAGCAACAAGGACUCUCAUUCUUUGCUAGUGGGAAUGCAAAAUGGUACUACUGUUUUGAAAGACAAUUUGGAAGUUUCUUAUAAAACUAAACAUAUUCUUAUCAUACAAUCCAGUGGUCUCAAUCCUUGGGAUUUACCCAAAUGAACUGAAAACUUAUGUCUACACAAAAACCUGCACACGGAUGUUUAUAGCAGCUUUAUUCAUAACUGCCAAAACUUGGAAGCAACCGAGAAGUCCUCAGUAGGUGAAUGGAUCAAUAAACUGCGGUACAUCCAGACAAUGGCAUAUUAUUCAACGCUAAAAAGCAAUGAGCCAUAAAGUCAGGAAAAGACAUGGAAGAACUUAAAGGUAUGUUACUAAGUGAAAGAAGCCACUCUGAAAAGGCUACAUAUUAUAUGAUUUCAAUUGUAUGACAUUCUGGAAAAGGCAAAACUAUGAAGACAGUAAAAAGAUCAGUGGUUGCCAGGGGGGCUGGGGGAGGACGGGAUAAACAGGGGGAGCACAGAGGAUUUUUAGGGCAGUGAAACUAUUCUGUAUGAUACUAUAAUGGUGGAUACGUGUCGUUAUACAUUUGUCAAAACCCACAGAAAUGUACAAUAUCAAGAGUGAACCUUCAUGUUAAACUAUGGACUUUCAGUGCUAAUGAUGUGUCAGCAUAGGUUCAUUGGGUGUAAUAAAUGUACCACUCUGGUGGGG
ensembl:lncRNA